CCUACGGGUGGCUGCAGUCGAGAAUCUUUCACAAUGGGGGCAACCCUGAUGGAGCGACGCCGCGUGGAGGAUAAGGUCUUCGGAUUGUAAACUCCUGUCAUGCGAGAACAAGGUUGCAGGGCUAACACCUUUGCAAAUUGAUGGUACCGCAAGAGGAAGAGACGGCUAACUCUGUGCCAGCAGCCGCGGUAAUACAGAGGUCUCAACACUGGUCGGGAAUCACUGGGCGGUAAGGUGGUAAGUCAGGCGUGAAAGCCCGGGGCUCAACCUCGGAAUUGCAUCCGAUACUGCCAUGCUGGAGUACUGAAGAGGUGACUAGAAUUCUAGGUGUAGCAGUGAAAUGCGUAGAUAUCUAGAGGAAUACCAACGGCGAAGGCAGGUCACUGGGCAGUUACUGACACUGAGGCACGAAGGCCAGGGGAGCAAACGGGAUUAGAUACCCCAGUAGUC
rnacentral:rRNA from 1 species